AUUUUUAUUACUUUAGGAGAUAUUUGCCAAAAACCUUUACAACAUUUGGUCCUUCACGCCGGAUUUUGGACACUCAAACGUCAAUAUCUCAACAACGAAUAGAGAUAACCCUAUAGUGUUUGGGUUUAUUUUAUUCAGCUCAAAAUUAUCUAUUAUUUUUUGUAAUUAAUUAUGAAAAAAUCCUAGGUUAUGAAAAAAAGUUGAAAAUUUAUACAAAAUUUUGCUUUCAGCACUUAGGUUAUCUAAAAAUACACACUAUCUAUAUUUUGCAAUUUUUCUCUAUUUUUAAUACUUUAGGAGAUAUUUACCAAAAACCUUUACAACAUUUGGUCCUUCAAGCCGGAUUUUCGACAUUCAAACGUCAAUAUCUCAACAACGAACCGAGAUAACCCUAUAGUGUUUGAGUUCAUUUUAUUCAGUUCAAAAUUAUCUAUUAUUUUUUGUAAUUAAUUAUGAAAAAAUCCUAGGUUAUGAAAAAAAGUUGAAAAUUUAUACGAAAUUUUGCUUUCAGCACUUAGGUUAUCUAAAAAUACACACUUUCUAUAUUUUGCAAUUUUUCUCUAUUUUUAAUACUUUAGGAGAUAUUUGCCAAAAACCUUUACGACAUUUGGUCCUUCAAGCCGGAUUUUGGACACUCAAACAUCAAUAUCUCAACAAUGAAUAGAGAUAACCCUAUAGUGUUUGGGCUCAUUUUAUUCAGCUCAAAAUUCUUUAUGAUCUUUUGUAAUUAAUUAUGAAAAAAUCCUAGGUUAUGAAAAAAAGUUGAAAAUUUAUACAAAAUUUUGCUUUCAGCACUUAGCUUAUCUAAAAAUACACACUAUCUAACUUUUGCAAUUUUUCUCUAUUUUUAUUACUUUAGGAGAUAUUUGCCAAAAACCUUUACAACAUUUGGUCCUUCACGCCGGAUUUUGGACACUCAAACGUCAAUAUCUCAACAACGAAUAGAGAUAACCCUAUAGUGUUUGGGUUUAUUUUAUUCAGCUCAAAAUUAUCUAUUAUUUUUUGUAAUUAAUUAUGAAAAAAUCCUAGGUUAUGAAAAAAAGUUGAAAAUUUAUACCAAAUUUUGCUUUCAGCACUUAGGUUAUCUAAAAAUACACACUAUCUACCUUUUGCAAUUUUUCUCUAUUUUCAAUAUUUUACGAGCUAUUUGCCAAAAACUUUUACAACAUUUGGUCCUUCAAGCCGGAUUUUCGACAUUCAAACUUCAAUAUCUCAACAACGAACCGAGAUAACCCUAUAGUGUUUGGGCUCAUUUUACUAAGCGCGAAAUUCACUAUUAUAAAUUGUAAUUAAUUAAAAAAAAUAUUAAAAGAUGUCACAAAAUAUUAAACAAAAAUAUAAAAUUUUGGUUUUUUCUUAAAGAUUAUUCAAUAUCAUACACUUUUUGUCUUUUGCAAUUUUUUUCUAUUUUCAAUAUUUUACGAGAUAUUUACAAAAAACUUUUACAACAUUUGGUCCUUUACGCCGGAUUUUCGACAUUCAAACCUCAAUAUCUCAACAACGAACCGAGAUAACCCUAUAGUG